AUGAGGACCACUGCUCAGCUCCUGGGAAUCCUGUUGCUCUGUCUCCCAAGUGCCAGAUGUGACAUCCAGAUGACCCAGUCUCCAUCCUCCCUGUCUGCAUCUCCAGUCACCAUCUCCUGCAGAGCCAGCCAGGAUAUCAGCAAUUAUUUAGCGUGGUAUCAACAGAAACCAGGGAACGCGCCUAAGCUUCUGAUUUCUUAUGCAACUAGCUUGGCCUCUGUGGUUCCAUCAAGGUUCAGUGGCAGUGGAUUUAGGCCAAAUUAUUCUCUCACCAUCAGCAGCUUUCAGCCUGAAAAUUUUGCCACUUAUUACUGUCAACAGCAUAUGAGUUACCCUCCCACAAUGAUAAAAGCCAUGAUUAAAAAAAAAAUCUCGCAGGAAAGCAGAAGUGAGAUGCUGGCCUGCCCCAGCAGCUUUUCCUAG